UACGGGGGGGCAAGCGUUGUUCGGAAUUACUGGGCGUAAAGAGCUCGUAGGUGGUUUGUCGCGUUGUCCGUGAAAACUCACAGCUUAACUGUGGGCGUGCGGGCGAUACGGGCAGACUGGAGUACUGCAGGGGAGACUGGAAUUCCUGGUGUAGCGGUGGAAUGCGCAGAUAUCAGGAGGAACACCGGUGGCGAAGGCGGGUCUCUGGGCAGUAACUGACGCUGAGGAGCGAAAGCGUGGGGAGCGAACAGG
rnacentral:rRNA from 1 species